AAAGACAUUAUUUUUGGUGAGAUGGUGCUUGGUGGUUCCUCGCUGCUGGGAGGAGGUGACGGGGGGGUCUCUGGUGUCACAGCUCCAUGACUGAACCCCUUCCCAUGGUGGCAGCGGGGCCUGGAGGAGCUCGAGGAGGGGGGGGGUCUCAGGGCUGAGAUGGUUUUUAUGGUGGGGUUAGUGGUGGUGGCCAGAAGGGACUGGGGAGGGGGCACAAACAAACUGGGGGCCUUGGGGUAUUUGCUGGUGGAGAGAUGCUUUUUUUGGCGGAGUCAGUGACACCUCGUUCCCUCCCAGGAGGUAUUUAAUUGACCUCAUUUGCAAAUGGAUGAGCCAGGGGGGUGUCCCCUGCUCCCCGGUGGCAGCAGCAGGACCAGCCUGACCCAGGGCAGGAGCCAGAGGGCGGCCGAGCAUCAGGCACCGGCAGCGUGACAGCCCUGGCACGUCAAGCACCACAUGCAUUUUUAUUUUUUUUUUAGGGUUAUUUUUGGUUUAUUUGUGGUUUUUUGGGUUUUUUUUGGUUGGCUGUGGGCCCCAGCCCAUUGCAGCAGCAGGGGCCGAGCUCUGACCGAGGCUGUUUGAUACAGGAGCAGAAAAGGAAUCUGUUAGACUUGAAUUUUUUGUUGUUUUUUUUUUCUUUUUAAAAUGUGAACCUGACACAGUAGCAUAGAUUAUUUUUGCGGGGUGUUCUUGUUUGUUUUUUUUUUGGUUGCUGUUUUUGUACUGACAUCGUGUUGUCUUCAAGGUCUGAUGAAGUAUUUCCCAGGCUGAGCUGGACCUUUUCCCUCUGGGGAAGCACUAAAGGUUUAACCACUGCAGAGCAAACUGUGCCCUGUGUGUCCCCCCCGGGGCAGGGCUUUCCCUGACACCCCCCAGCCCCGUCCCUGGAGCCCAAUUUUGGGGUAACUCCAGCGCUUUAACCUUGUUGUGCACUAAUAUUUUCACAUCCCAGGGUGGUUCUUGAAGUCCAGGGCAGCCCCGUUGUGCUCCAGCAGAGGAGCAGGAGCUCUGCUGGAACCAAGUUCAAGCACCCAAAUGUUUUAAGGGUUCACUAGAGGAAGCAGGAGCCAUUUCUUUCAAAUUUAAGAUGGGCAGCAUUAAAACCUUUGAAGUAUUAGUGGUUUUGUACCCCUGCUGGUACGUUGACCAUGGAGUGGGCAGGGCUGACUGCUCACCUGGAUCUCCUCCCCCAUGGAGGGGGACUGUCCCCCUCCCUCACCCCACAAGGAAAGAGGGGGUGACAGCCCUGGAGGAGCUGAACCACUCCUGGGGCAGCCCCAAACCCCAGCCAGGUCCUGCUUUUACCUGUUUUGAGGGUAAAUGACAUUUUCCACAUCCAAGAAGGAGGAAGAUGAUCUUCCAGGAGGGACCGGUCGCCUCUAGGAUCAGCUCCCCCAGGGCUCAGAAUAGUCCCCCUUUCCCCUCCUGUAGCUCAAAGGGAAGGGCAUUUAACAGAUUUGUUAAAUUCAUUCGCUUACCCCCAUACGCUAUGCACCCCCCCCAACACUUUUGUACUAGUCUGUGUUUAAAAAAAGUAAUAAACUUGGAAGUUUAUACAAUCAGACUAAGUUUUAAUGAACGUUGCCUGGUUUCGUCAUUGAAAGUGAGGGGCCACCUUGAAUGCAAGAGCUGUUUAUUAAUUAUUUUUUUUUUUUUAUUGAUGACAAACAAGUUUAAAACAAACAGACAAAAAAAAAAAAAGAAGAAAUCAGAAAAAAAAAAAAGAGUUAACACCGUGCUAGCACUGAUGUCUGGAUUUAUAAAACUCAGAGUUUAACUGCUACAAAGGAAAAAACCAGCACGAAGCAGAGGCAAGCAUUCCCAGCCGUGAACUAAAGGGGGCAAGGGGAGAGGAGGGGGGUUACUGGAUGGAUUUGCAUCGCACAGAGGGGUUACAGCUUCAACCUAUGGGGAAAAGUCUAUGCAACUACGCAGCCUACGGAAGGAAAACAAAAUUAAAAAGCCCUUCGGCAAUGUUAAUAAAUAAAACAGUCCAUCUUACAAGGAA